rnacentral:rRNA from 1 species
UACGAAGGGGGCUAGCGUUGUUCGGAAUUACUGGGCGUAAAGCGCGCGCAGGCGGUCUUUCAAGUCAGUGGUGAAAGCCUGGAGCUCAACUCCAGAACUGCCAUUGAAACUGCAAGACUUGAGUACGAGAGAGGUGAGUGGAAUUCCCAGUGUAGAGGUGAAAUUCGUAGAUAUUGGGAAGAACACCGGUGGCGAAGGCGGCUCACUGGCUCGUAACUGACGCUCAGGCGCGACAGCGUGGGGAUCAAACAGG